rnacentral:rRNA from 1 species
UACGUAGGGGGCAAGCGUUGUCCGGAUUUAUUGGGCGUAAAGAGCGUGUAGGCGGUUUGGUAGGUCCGUUGUGAAAACUCGAGGCUCAACCUCGAGACGCCGAUGGAAACCAUCAGACUAGAGUCCGGAAGAGGAGAGUGGAAUUCCUGGUGUAGCGGUGAAAUGCGCAGACUAUCAGGAAGAACACCCGUGGCUAAGGCGGCUCUCUAGUACGGUACUGACGCUGAGACGCGAAAGCGUGGGGAGCGAACAGG